ACAAUGAUACUCCCGUCCAGCCUAACGUCCGAGCGUGCUGACAGCCGUCGCAGGCAAUGGGGACGGUCACGUGAGAACCACGCGAGGGGUGAGAUUCCC
rnacentral:ncRNA from 1 species